GACGAACGCUGGCGGCGUGCUUAACACAUGCCAGUCGAACGGAAAGGCCCUGCUUUUGUGGGGUGCUCGAGUGGCGAACGGGUGAGUAACACGUGAGUACCUGCCCUUGACUUUGGGAUAACUUCAGGAAACUGGGGCUAAUACCGGAUAGGAGCUCCUGCUGCAUGGUGGGGGUUGGAAAGUUUCGGCGGUUGGGGAUGGACUCGCGGCUUAUCAGCUUGUUGGUGGGGUAGUGGCUUACCAAGGCUUUGACGGGUAGCCGGCCUGAGAGGGUGACCGGCCACAUUGGGACUGAGAUACGGCCCAGACUCCUACGGGAGGCAGCAGUGGGGAAUAUUGCACAAUGGGCGGAAGCCUGAUGCAGCAACGCCGCGUGCGGGAUGACGGCCUUCGGGUUGUAAACCGCUUUCGCCUGUGACGAAGCGUGAGCGACGGUAAUGGGUAAAGAAGCACCGGCUAACUACGUG
rnacentral:rRNA from 1 species